rfam:Ruegeria sp. ZGT108 ZB100001, whole genome shotgun sequence.
UUUGAAGCGCAUAAGGCGCGGUGGUUCCAUGCGCGAGACGUGCUAAGAAGAAUGGAAUUUGGUACAGCGAUCUGGCCAAAUCCAAAGCUGUCCCCGCAACCGUAGGCAGAAAGCCGUCCCAAGAUCGUCCACUGGGCACAGACCUCGGAAAGAUUUGGAAAGCGUUGACUUGCAAGUCAUUGAUCCCCGACCCUGCGGACAGCG